rnacentral:rRNA from 1 species
GCAACGCGAAGAACCNUAUCCUAGGCUUGACAUGCACGUAUCAACUUCCUGAAAGGGAAGCCACACCCGCAAGGGCGGAACGUGCACAGGUGCUGCAUGGCUGUCGUCAGCUCGUGCUGUGAAGUGUCGGGUUAAGUCCCUCAACGAGCGAAACCCCUGUCGUUAGUUGCUAGCGCGUUAUGGCGAGGACUCUAGCGAGACUGCCGGUGUCAAACCGGAGGAAGGUGGGGAUGACGUCAAGUCCUCAUGGCCUUUAUGCCUAGGGCUGCACACGUGCUACAAUGGCGGAUACAGAACGAUGCAAGACCGCAAGGUGGAGCAAAUCGCAUAAAGUCCGCCCCAGUUCGGAUUGGAGGCUGCAACCCGCCUCCAUGAAGUCGGAAUCGCUAGUAAUCGCGGAUCAGCUACGCCGCGGUGAAUGUGUUCCUGAGCCUUGUACACACCGCCCGUCAAGCCACGAAAGCGGGGAGCAUCCGAAGUUACUGCGUGAACCGUAAGGACACAGGUACCUAAGAUGAGCUCCGUGAUUGGGACUAAGUCGUAACAAGGUAGCCGUAGGGGAACCUGCGGCUGGAUCACCU